GAUGAACGCUGGCGGCGUGCCUAACACAUGCAAGUCGAGCGAUUCUCUUCGGAGAAGAGCGGCGGACGGGUGAGUAACGCGUGGGUAACCUGCCCUGUACACACGGAUAACAUACCGAAAGGUAUGCUAAUACGAGAUAACAUACUUUUAUCGCAUGGUAGAAGUAUCAAAUCUCCGGCGGUACAGGAUGGACCCGCGUCUGAUUAGCUAGUUGGUAAGGUAACGGCUUACCAAGGCGACGAUCAGUAGCCGACCUGAGAGGGUGAUCGGCCACAUUGGAACUGAGACACGUUCCAAACUCCUACGGGAGGCAGCAGUGGGGAAUAUUGCACAAUGGGCGAAAGCCUGAUGCAGCAACGCCGCGUGAGUGAUGAAGGCCUUCGGGUCGUAAAGCUCUGUCCUCAAGGAAGAUAAUGACGGUACUUGAGGAGGAAGCCCCGGCUAACUACGUGCCAGCCGCCGCAGUAA
rnacentral:rRNA from 1 species